GCGAGCCAAUAUCCAUCCGACGGGGUAUCUUCCAGGGUGAUUCUCUGUCUCCCCUGCUGUUCUGCAUCGGUCUCAACCCAAUCUCAAACGAAUUAGCAAGAAGCGGCAUAGGAUAUCGUUGUGGACCCACGCGUGAUUCCCUGUUGUCGCAUCUAUGGUACAUGGAUGACGUCAAGCUAUUUGCCGCUAGCAGUACUGGACUGGACUCCUUGAUCAACAUUGUGGAGUGCGUUGGUGGGGCGGUUGGCAUGCAACUAUCUCCCACUAAGUGCUCGAAGAUUGUCUGCCCGGCCGCUAAGCCAACCCAGGAUGCAGAGCCUUCGUCAACCUUGCUAACAGAGUCGAUCAUUCAUCCUCUGCAAGAUGGCGCGGCGUACCUCUACCUUGGCCUGCGGGAAUUCCUGGGAAUCGAGGCUGGUGAAGUUAAACAAUCUGCCAUCGCUGAGUUCCGUCGCCGUCUUCGCUUGAUCACGGAUGCUUCACUAUGUGCACCAAACCUCAUCAGAGCAAUCAACACCUACGUUCUGCCAGUGGUGUCUUAUGGCCUUGGCACAGUCGUUCCUUGGACCGCGGAUGAGCUCCGCUCGCUGGACAGGACAGUGAGGAAGGCUCUGACUGCUAGCAGGGCCCACCACCCACGUGCCUCAAUCCGUCGCCUAUAUCUACCGCGGAGCGAGGGAGGUCGUGGCCUAGUAUGCAUCGUAGAUCUCCAUGACCGUACUUGCAUCCGGCUCGCUCAGUACCUGAAGGAUCGGGAAGAUGUCCCUGCCCUGGCCGCUGUUCUCCAGCACCAUGAAUCACGUCCCUCUAGAAAAUCAAUACCAAAGCUGGCAAAUACUGUCCUGCAGCGCCUUCGCCUGACGAGCCUGGACACCGCUAACAAAGAGACUGUUAAACAGGCCCUCAAUGACAACCGCCGCCGUGAACUUCGAGCGAUGCCUCUUCAUGGUCGCUAUUGGGCGCGUGUUGAUGGUAUCCUGGACAUGCAGCUCUCGUUUUCCUGUUUCAGAUCCCAGACAAUGCGUCCUGAAACGGAAGGCUUUCUCAUUGCUUGCCAGGAUCAGGUGAUUGCCACGAGAAACAAUAUGCGCCAUAUCCACAAGAGGCAUGAUGUCGUGGACCUCUGUCGUGUAUGUGGUGCACCCGGAGAAAAUAUGGACCACAUCAUCGCCUGCUGUCCAGCCCUGGCACGGACUGCAUACAUUGCCCGGCAUAACUUUGUGGUCCAGGCCCUGCAUCGUGCGCUGUGUAAGCAGCAUGGGUUACCCAGCAGUAAGCAGCUGGUGCAGGUCACAAGUUCUGCCAGUUGCAAGCUGAUGUGGGAGAUUUCCAUUCCCACAGAUCGAGUAAUAAAAGCGAACAGACCAGACCUGGUGCUGGUUCUGGAUGAUCGGGCACUGCUCUUGGACGUCAGUGUCCCAUUGGACCACAGGGUCAAUGAGAAGGUGCAGGAGAAGAUCAGCAAAUACCUGCCCUUGGCAGCAGAGCUGAGGAGGAUCUGGAACAAAAAGAUAACUAUUGUUCCAGUUAUCAUUGGUGCUCUGGGUGGUGUGUCAGGAACGAGCCGCAGCCACAUCUUAAGCCUUGGGCUCCACGCGUCCACGAGUCUCUUGACCAACAGCUCUCUGACAUGACAGCAUGGGAGAGUGAGGUCUUCACAGAACUUCGGCCUGACCUGGUUUCCACGCUAACUCCAGGUGAUAUGCGUCGCCAGUGUGAGGCUAAGAGGUUGAUUACGCGUGCACAGCGUCAGCUAUUUGCAUUACACACUGGCCGUGCAGUGCAGAAUGAGGAAUUGCUCGAUGCACUAAGCACUGGUGAUGACGAAUCCUUCCACACCUUCCUUAAAUGCAUCCGUAAAGUCGAGCCAGAAGCCAGCGCGAGAAGGUUAUUGGCCAAGCUGGAACCCGUCGACAAGUUCCAGCAGCCCGGCAGUACUGCUGAGGCCGCAUUAGCGUCUGCAGGAGCAUCUACUGCUGAUCCAGUGGGAGUCCCGUAGAGAACGACGGCAUUGGCGAGGCGAUGAAAUGUGCAAGAGCCCACCUUUCGUUGAGAUAGAAGGCUUCUGUACAGCACAGGUGUUGUAUGAACUGGUGCCAAGCUACCCGACCAAGAGGCUGUGUCAAGGACUGUUUGUCGGCUGGUUCGACCUUUCCAUUGGUCAUUUUUAUCAUACAUGUUAUUGUAAAGCGUAUGUCUACUGGUUUGUCUCUGCUAGCAUGCUAUGUCUCUGCAUGUGAAGGUGUUGGCAUGUAGCAGUAUUGCCUGGCAGUCACACUGUGCAUGUCCGGCUCACACAGAUGCAUAAUGCCGUUUUUUUUUUUUCAUUUUUUCCUUCUCUCUUUUUACGAUUUUUCGCCUUCUUUUUUUGUAUCGCAGAUGCUCCUGCUGCUGCUGCUGCUUAUAAUGAUGAUGAUGAUGCAUGUCUAGUGGAUUGUAGGUGUUGUCUAGUGCAAUGGAAUGCAUACAUGUAUGUUCUAAUGCUGGCACUGGCUUUUAAGUCGCCGCACACGCUUAGGUUUACAUUGCAGAUAAACAAAGGCUAGUGCAUUCACAAUUUUCUUUGCUUUGACUUUUCCCAUUGUUACACAAAUAAACAUUAGACUCGCAAGUCUCGCUUGGACUUGUACUGCCACGAGCCUCCUCUCGAUUUGGUUAUUUCUCUCUUUCUUAUUUAGCCGCUGACCGCUGGAACUCAGCUCCGGCAUCGGUCCGCCUUGCUGCUUCACCAAGUUUUCUUUCGACGCGUUUGUUGUGCAGUGAAGCCGAGACCCUAGGUCGGCGGAGCACAUCAGACCCCGUCACCACGUCCACGAUUCAUGCCUGCGAUGCUGCACCGCUGCUUUGCAUGUCAUGAUUGGAAGCUGUGGCCUUAGUAAAAAAAAAAGUCAAUUUCGUAUCGCAAUCCUAGAUUGGCUAGGGUGCCCCGUAAGGAGACCAUAGGUCUGUACUGUGGGGACUGCCCUAGAGAAGUAUGAAUAAAUACUACUACUAUGUACUGUA